rnacentral:snRNA from 1 species
UUUGCUUCUCAGCCUUUUGGCUAAGAUCAAGUGUAGAAGUUCUGUUCUUUUUACAUCAGCCAAUCAAGGUUACAACAAAAUCACAUUGUCCAUGAUGAGAGAUAACAGUUGUUCUGUUCGUUUUCUAGGACCUUCU